rnacentral:tRNA from 1 species
UCAGAAAAAGGAGGGUUAAACUCCUGCCCCUAGCCCCCAAAGCUAGGAUUACUAUCAUUAAACUAUUUUCUG